AGUAGGAUAGUUGGGUCAUAUGAUGGUUCCAUCACUAUUCUUCUGAGAAAUUUCCAUACUGCUUUCCAAAGUGGUUGUACUAAUUUGCAGUCCCACUAACAAU
rnacentral:pre_miRNA from 1 species